AGCUCGCGCCGGCGAUAGACGAGGACGCCAACAGCAGCGGAGAAACGUUUCUCUUUCCUCUCAGCUUGCGCACACCAUGGCGGCCCCUGCCCAGCAGACUACUCAGCCUGGCGGCGGGAAGCGCAAAGGCAAGGCUCAGUAUGUGCUGGCCAAGCGCGCUCGGCGCUGCGACGCUGGCGGGCCCCGUCAGCUAGAGCCCGGGCUACAGGGCAUCCUCAUCACCUGCAAUAUGAACGAGCGCAAGUGCGUGGAGGAGGCCUACAGCCUCCUCAACGAAUACGGCGACGACAUGUAUGGGCCAGAAAAGUUUACAGACAAGGAUCAGCAGCCCUCUGGAAGUGAGGGAGAGGAUGAUGAUGCGGAGGCUGCCUUGAAGAAAGAAGUUGGUGACAUUAAGGCAUCUACAGAGAUGAGGUUAAGAAGAUUCCAGUCAGUGGAAAGUGGAGCAAAUAACGUUGUCUUCAUCAGGACACUUGGGAUAGGUGUGACAAAUACUUGCUAAGAUUAUCGAUCUCAUUACAUCUGGAUAUCUUCCUGUCUCAGGGAAUACUGCUUACAAAAUGGCUUCUUGGGCAUGACUCAGUUAAUCAUUUGAUGGCAGCUUCUGUACACUGUAUUAGCAGUUGGCCUGUGGA
rnacentral:sRNA from 1 species